UAGGCAGAAGCCAGUGGGCUAAGGCGUUUAGCUGUUAACUAAAACUUUACGGGAUCGAAGCCCGUCUGUCUAG
rnacentral:tRNA from 5 species